CGCGAGAGCCUUCUGGUACGAUUCCGCCGCCGCAGCAAGCCGAGACGCAGGCCUAGAACGCCUGCUGCGCCACCACAUCCGCGAUGAGGGCCAAGUGGAAGAAGAAGAGAAUGAGGAGGCUUAAGAGGAAGCGACGAAAGAUGAGGCAGCGAUCAAAGUAGGCGGG